GCAAAGGCGAUGACAGAGUAAAGUAGACGACAGGCGGAUUUUCAGGGAGGAAGGGUCGCUGACUGGAAGCCCUUCUAAAAAAGCGGUGGUUGAAGUUCCCUCUUGAGCUGUCGGCUGAACAAAAAAAGUAGGCUGGAACGGUUCUUCCCCGUUAAAAGGAAGAGGGUAUCGGAUUGUCUGUCCCGUACCUUUAGUGAGUGGGCAUUCUUUGCCAAUCAGGGUGGUAACGCGAGCUUCUCGUCCCUUAG
rnacentral:ncRNA from 1 species